rnacentral:rRNA from 1 species
AUUGAACGCUGGCGGCAUGCUUUACACAUGCAAGUCGAACGGUAGACCCUUUCGGGGGUUGAGAGUGGCGAACGGGUGAGUAAUGCAUCGGAACGUGCCUAGUCGUGGGGGAUAACGUAGCGAAAGUUACGCUAAUACCGCAUACGCACUGAGGGGGAAAGCGGGGGACCGUAAGGCCUCGCGCGAUUGGAGCGGCCGAUGUCGGAUUAGCUAGUUGGUGAGGUAAAGGCUCACCAAGGCGACGAUCCGUAGCGGGUCUGAGAGGAUGAUCCGCCACACUGGGACUGAGACACGGCCCAGACUCCUACGGGAGGCAGCAGUGGGGAAUUUUGGACAAUGGGCGCAAGCCUGAUCCAGCCAUGCCGCGUGCGGGAAGAAGGCCUCGG